rnacentral:lncRNA from 1 species
AUAGAAAGCACUGUCGAAGUGUGAUGAAUGUGUUAGGUUGAUGUCAACUCCAUUUGGUUGGUUGCGAUGAAUGCUUUGAUGAAUUUAAAACCAUGUUCUUCUCUUUGUAGCUAAAUGUCAAGUCAUUUUAGUUGGUUGGCUGUGAUGAAUGCAUUUGAAACUUUCUUUCUUCUCUGGCGAUAUAAACACACUUCUUUCUUCUCUUCCAUCAAGUAAA